AAUUUUGAAAUAUCACAGAAAAAAACACAAAACCUAAACGUAAACCUAAAACCCAUUUUUUUUAAGGCAGCCGCCGCCCCCUCCCCCUGGUUUUAAUUUUUUUUCGACAGCUGCCGGCCACAAGAAAAAAUCCAAGACAGCUCCCCGAUCCUCCUCUCGGCUGUUUCUCCCUUUCUUCUCCUUCGGCUACUCAUCCUUCAGAAACCAGAGCCGGCUUAUUCUCCCCUUUCCACUUUCAAAGCCAGCAGCCCCCACCUCUCCUUCAUUUCUUUCUCCAGCUUCUCCCCUCAACCAUGGCCGCCCCUAUUUUUUCAAAAAAAUAGAAAAACACCACUUGAAAACAAAGACAGCCCCGAACCCCUCCCUCUUUUUUCUUCUCCUCAGCCGCCGGACAAGCCUCACCCCAGGCCAUUUUUUUUUUUCGUUUCUCUUCUCCCUUCAGCCGGGCGGAUCUUCAGCUCCCUUCAACAGAAAAUAGAAGGAAAGCCCCCGCUACUCCCAUUUCCUUAUCUCCCUUUCAGCAGCGGCUCCUCCCCACAGAGCCGUUCUCCCACCUCCACCAAGCCACCGAUCUGCCACCCGAAGCAGAGGAGAAGAAGACGAAACCCAGCGCCCACCGGACAAGCAGCAGCAAGGCCAGCCACCGCUGUUCCUUUCCCCAGCAGCGUCGCUCCCCCUUUUUGCAACCGCCAGAUCCACCACCAGAAAUAGAGGAGAAGAAGACACCCACAACCGCCGGCCAUCUGAACAGAAGAAGAGGUAACGGAAACAAUCUGCAGAGAGGGGCAGAUCGAAGACGGCGGAGAAAGAAAGAACAACAAAAAAACAGAUUUGAAAAAACUAAGAAAAAACUUAAAAUCGACUGCCCUUGCUGUCUGUGUUUUUUUAUUUACAGGUAACACCGGCGAGGACGGGAAGAGGGGAUGAAGCUGCCACCAGACCUCCUGCUGCGUUUUUUUCGGGGCGGCGCGUGAGCCCACGCGCCGCCAGUCACGGCGGUGCGUGGGGUCCACGCGCCGCUGCUGUUCAGGCAGCCCAGAACUGUUCCUGAAGGGUUUUCCAGCACUGUUAUGGAUUGUUUAGGGACCAUUUUGUAAAUUUUAAAGUUUUAAUGUAAUUUUUGUUUAUUUAUUUUAAAUUUGUAAUAUGUGAAUGUAAAAAAAAAAAAAGAAGAAAAGAAAAGAAAAUAAUAAUAAAAAAGGGGAUGUGUGUGUUGGUGUAUUUUAUUUAUUUAUUUUGAAUUUGAAUUUGUAUUUGUAUUUGUAUUGUGGAUGUAAAAGAAAAGAAAGAAAAAAAAGAAAAAAAAGAAAAAAUAGUGAAACUGUAUGUGUAUAUGUGUUUGUAUUUUAUUUUUAUUUAUUUGUUUUUUUUUUUUACGAUAAAAUUGCAAAAUAUAUUAAAGAAGAAUUUAAUAUUUUGAUCGGAUCACGGUUAAGAAUUAUUAACUUAUACGUAAGUGAUAUUUCUAAUUUCCGACGAAAAGACAAUUAUUAAAACUUCUUUAACACGUCAAAGCCACGAAGCAGCUUACCUCAGGUAGGGUGCGUUAGGGGUGCUAAUACCUUCCCUAACCACAACCAGUUCCUUACCCGCGAAUCUCUGACAGGACCAGUGCAUCCGGUUUCCUAGUAGCCUUCAAUAAAUUACUAGGUGGCGACUCUAACGAACGAAUUCAAAACAAACGCAACAACGAGAUGAAAAAUCGCCAACCGAUGCCGCGCGCUGAUUUUUUGGGGUGCGACAGAAUGGCGACUCCACUGGGGAAGGUAUUUUUUCCGAUUAUUGGACUAAGCUUUGUGUAUUUGAUGUGUUUAAGUUUUUGCAUUUUUAUCUUUUUGUUAAUAUUUAUUUCCAUGCAUUUUAUAGAAUUGUCUCAUGCAUCACCUGUAUUUAUUUUUAAAAGCACACACAAGCUUCUAGGUUAGGUGGGGAACUAGCGAUCUGCCCUAAGACUAUUGGUCAGGGUUCAGAUGCGUGAAACACCCAACUCAUAUCUGAGUGCCUGCUUGGUAAUGGUGGGUAUAUGUGCCUUACCCUUUCCUUGCAACGCCCCCAAACUGUCUUUACGAAGAACGUCACUGGGCAGAUAUGAGACCCUUUUGAGACCAGAUAGAAAAAUUACCCAUGUUCACAUAAUGAAUAGAACCUGUCCUUAGGUUGUAUGUGCUAUCGUUUUUUGCAUAAGGGCAAACCCUUCUUGAAGCAUCUUGAACUCAAGACUUGUGGGUGACACAUUGGUCGUUGCUCCGAAAAUUUUCAUUGUAGAGUUUGGGCAAAAAUCACGAUUCUUGUCCAUCAUACAAGAGUUACGACCAUAUUGUCACCUCUCGAAGGGAGAGUUCAUCAUAUAGAUUACAUGUUCAUACAUUUAUCAUGCAUGAACCGGGUCGAAACGUAGGUCCCUUGUACAAGUUGUGCUGCACGAGAUUGAAGAAAAAUAAUGGAAGUGAACAAAGGAGUCAGAUAUAGGUUCAGUAUCAGAUUAAGGUUGAGAGCAUCAAGAGUGAAGUAGCGGGACUCAGAUCUGCUCGAACAAGUGUUGAGCAUCAAAUGAAAAGAGAAUGUCUGCACAGUUUGCUGUGGGAACACUGCUUGUUCACGUCCAAUUGAAGAUGUACCUUUCCUUUUCAGUCAUGAACAACAGCAACAACGCCUUCAGUCAUCAACUAAUGACAACUCUGAUUCCUGUCCAGUUGCGCUGUUAAGUAUUCAUCGCCUCCACAUCAUCUAAUGGAACCAAACGACUACUAACCUCCUGUUCAUGGUGCAUUAGUCUGCUUUGAAGUUACCCCAAUUAUGAGCUCAAUUCCAGUUCAGCAGCACAAGAUGUUGGUCUAAAAAAAAAACCAUGAUCAGACACUGAAUUUCAACGCGGUAGAGCUCUCUCUGUAGAGAUUUAUUUGUGGAUCUGUCAAUGGCAAAUGCAAAAGGGAAUGUAUUAAUUUCAUAUGCUUUGAAACUAUUUCCCACCAGUGGCACCAGCAAAACAUUGUAGUAGGCAGAAGAGUCAGACCUGGUCUGAUAAUAUUAGUAGUUGUCAAACUUCAAUGUGGCAGAGCUCUCUCUACAAAAAUCCAUUUAUGGCUCUGCAAAUUGGGAAUGCAAGAGGGGAUUUACUAAUUGCAUAUGCUACAAAUAUUUCUCUCAUCAGUUUCAGCACGAAGAAACUAUAGCAGGUUGAAGAGCCAGACUUGGCUUGAAAAAUAUGAGCAGACAUCAAACUUCAACGUAGCAGAGCUCUCCGACAGGAAUCUGUUUGUGGAUCCGCAAGUGUGAAAUCCAAGAAGGAAUACAGUAGUUUCAGAUCAUUUAUGAUUUUUCUCCAACAGUGUCAGUAUUAAAAUGCAAAAGUAGAGAGAAGAUACAUGCCUAGACUGAAAAACAUGAAGAAUACUGAAACUUCAACAGAGCAGGACUUCCUCUAUAGGUGUUUGUUUGCUGCACUGUCAGUGAGAAAUUGAAGAGGGGACGAAGGAGUUUUAGAUUCAUCAGGUGCUCUUCCAAUAAAGACAAUGUGUGAUUCCACACGUCGGUAGUGGCGAUACUAGAAGUUUCUGGAUGCUGCCAAGAUUACCAAGCUGUUAGAAAGUUUUCUAACAAUCCUCAACCAACCAUAGCAACAUUGGAAGAUUGAAGGAUCUGCCAUGGAUUCUAGAACAAUGAUGAGAGGUGAAUCAGGAGAUGACUUUGACAGUGUAAACCCUUAAUUAUGUGGUAUAGCCAAGUCUCACGGCAUCAUCAAUUGCUCAAAAUAUCUUUGCCAAGAUGGGACAUUGCUCUGCCGUUUAAGUUGUCGACCAGCAUCCACAAGAUUCCAGAAUUUUGCUUGACUCCGACAAAUUCCCAUGCAACCACCAAUUUCUUAGUGGUAUAAUCCAGAUAAGAGAUGUGAUGUCAUGGUGGGGUCCUCAACCAUUUCAAGUGAACAGUUUCAAGAAUAGCAAGAAUUGAGUCUGGAAGUUGGUGAGCAAGAGACAGGUGGAGUCGUUGAAGAAGGGUGUCACUGGCUAUAUUGUUCCCCGAACAUCUUCAGAAGGACAUGUGAUCGAAAAUGCUUGGCAAAACACAGAUAUUGCCAGAAAAGCUGAUUCGAGAAGGGUGAUGAACAGUCAAUCAUAUUGUUAUGGAAUUCUGCAUUUUGUUUUGGGAUCACAUCUCAUCCUUCAACGAAACAUGCCUUGCUUUUGUCUCUUUGUUGUUUUGAAAUCAACAGAUGUUUAGCAUUUUAUUCUGACAAAAUAUUUUGAUCAAACUACAACAUGCGAUAAAGGUUAAUCAAUCCGGAAGAUUAGAAGUGUUUUGAUUACAGAAAUGACUCUAUGCUUGAAAAUGACAUGAGGUGACCAAACAAUUUUGAACUCAUACCUCCUGAAACUGAACCACACAUCAUAUAGCUAAGUUUUAACAGUAUGCAUAAUGACAUGUAGUGGAUUCGGUAGUCAUGGACUCGUGAAUCAUGAUUCUUACAAGUCCCAAUCAUUACACUGGAUGAGGUCAAAAUUUAUCGGUUAUAACCGACCUUGCUUGAAAUGAGAAAAGGCCAUCUUUGAUAUCCCUUCACUUUCUAAAGAUUAUAUCCCUUGCAGUCCCAUUUUGAGCCUGGUAAAAUAUUUUCUUUCAAAAAAAGAAACCCUGACUAGGAUCACACCCCACACUGGGGGCAAAUGAGAGAUAUUUUGGAGACAUUGAUAUAAUUAAUGGAUAAAGGGGAAGGCUUAGAACAAAGGUCCAAUGAUUGAGAGAGAGCUAAAAGAAAACACAUAGACUGGGGGCAUAUAAGAAAAUUUUGAGGAAGGCUAUGAAAAAAAAAAAAGAGAAUGAAAAAAGGAAGUUGAAAUUGCCUUCACUUAAAUACAAGUCAAAGAUAAAGGAAGGAGAACGCCUAUCAAGUCUAUGAAGAGCAAAAGAAAUUUCAAUCAAGGAAAGGCACAACAAAAGUCAAUACCAGAAAAAAGACUAAGCUAUAAGCGUUGACUUUUGGUAUCCGUUAUAAAACCUAUGAUGAUUUAAGGUUGGUUAUUCCUCAAAGAAAGUUGGAUUUGCAUUAUGACUUAUGUUAAGAAAAGUCGGAACUUUGAGGUUAACAAGGUUAUAUGUCGUUUCCUCUAUAAAGACAACAAUAGAAAACAAGUUGAUGAAUAGUUGAUGUUGAUCCUAGGUCUUUGAAACCCUCAAACACCUUUUGAGCCUGUGAAAUUCCUUUCUUUCAUAGCCAUGAACCAUAGCCUGCAUUACAUGCUUUUUAAAGCCCUUUUUAAUCAAGCAAGCAACUUGAACCGAUAAAUGGCGCUCUCAAAACUUGAAGAGUUUUUCCAUAAGAGUCGUGACUUCAUGAAUUAAGUUACCGGUCGUUAUGCAUGUUGAUAAAAUUAUUGCUAAAAACAAAACAUGUUUCCUUCAUGAAUCCUCAAGUUUUGACUUGAGCCUGUUGUUUUCCUUGAAAUUCACAGAAGGUCACCUCACCAUAAACUAUCAAAUGAUAUACCCAAUAUCAAGGAUUCAAAUUGAUACAAAGAACCAUGGAAAAAGCCAUUUUUAAUCCUACAUUGGGUCAAUUUCUGUUUUCAAAAUGCAUGACAAUCAAAGGACUAUAUAUUUCGAAUAAAAUGUGUUGGGCCUUUGAUCAAAAAGCUUGAUUUUCAAAAGAUUUUAAAAAAAAAAGACAUCUCUGAUUUCAUUUCAACAAAUUAGACUUUGAAUAGACAUGAUCUUUGAAAUAUGAGAGUUGAUUCCAAAACAAGGAAGAUCAUCAAACACAGAAGAACAUUGAUUGAGUAUGCAAAAUCGUUGAUAGAAAUGACAUUGAAGUCCUCGACACUCCUUGAAAAGUUGAGCAGCUGGGGGCAAUACAGUAGACCUUGAAAAGGAAAAACAAGCAGUGUUCAGAUCAGCUAUGAGGCAAUGAUUAAAUGAUGAAUCAGUGAACUGAAGACAAUGAUGUUCAGAGACAGAUAGUCAAUGAACGAGCACAUUCAGAUUAUGCCGGGGGCAUUGUCAUUCCAAAAUGGCCCAUGCUCUAGUGAACCCUGUCGGCAAUGGAGAAACAAGGAUGUAUUUGAAGGACACUUUCAUAUCAUCAUCUUUUGAAACAUGGCUAGCAAUCGAUGACGAUACACAGAUGAAUGUAAUUGGUGAAAAGAUGCACACCACCAAGACUGACUGUGGAACAAUGCUGCACUUAAAGGACUAUCUCAUAUUGUCAUUCUUUGAAACAUGGUUAUAGACAGAGGUUAUCACACAACUGCACUGAAUGAAUGUUGGAAAGGCACCCACCUCGAAGACUGAUUGUGGGACAUCUAUUCUGAAGCUCAAAUGCGCACUUCACCGCAUGAAUAUGGGUGAUAACAUGAACAUCAUUGAUGAUGCCAAAGCAGGUAUUUUCAUGAUCUGAUUUGACAAGCUAAGAGGAAUCCAUAGAGAAAUACAUCGCGCUUACAAUGAUGAGCUGUUUACUGCAAAGCAUGAGAUACAUGUCUGGAUGACUUGGCAGUUCCAUGAAGGCUGGUGACCAUACACACUUGAAUGGUGUUUCAACCGAAGGCAAGUUCAUGAUUGAUUAACAAACGUGAUGGGUGUUGGCAUGAUGCACACAAUCAAUCAGAGGAUAAUUUCUCAGAAGAAGCCAGGAGAGAAAAUCUCUCAUGAUGAAUCAAGCAGUACUACACUUGGGGGCAGGGUCAAGCUUCAUGAACGAUGCAAGCAAUAAUUGUCGAAGACAGCCCGGGAUGGGCACUGCAUUUACAGCUGAGUGGAUGGCUAACACAUGAAUGAGCCAAUAUAUCGGAAAAACAAAGAAAGCUUUGGGAUACAAACAAGGGCACCCUAUGACGAUGGAGCAUCAAAGAGGGGGGACCUAUUAUUUCAAAUCAGGUAAGGAUGCAUGCAUAUCAUCUAACCUCAAAAAAAAAAAAAAAAAAAACCAUUUGCACAGAUUUUUGAACUGUUACAGGAAAAUCCUUAAUGAGGUCCAGCAAGAUAGUGGAAAGAGAAAGAAGCAUUGUGGUGAUGAUAAUAAAGAAUCGGUUUUGAUCAUGGAAUAAAAGGACGAUGGGAUGAACCCUACCAUUAGGAAAAUCCCAAAGAAAUGAAUAGAUCAACCUUGCAACCGGGAAGCCUCGAGUUUUCAACCCUUGCAGUCAGGAAACAUCGAGUUUUCAAACCCCAUGAUCGGGAAUUAUCAGGAAGCACCAAGUCUUUCAGCCCUUUCUUCUGUCAUCCCUUCAGAACUUCGCCAGGUAAGCCCUAUUUUUCACACUUGUCAUAUCACAUUCUUUCCAUCUGGGUAGGUCACCCAUCAUAAUGAGACCAUUUUUGUUCACAUUCUUUCCACCUGGGUUGGUCACCCAUGACAAUGAGACCGUGUUUUUCACAUUUUUUCCAUCCGGGUAGGUCACCCAUGACAAUGAGACCACACUUCAUCAUUUUUUUUCCAUCUGGGUAGGUCACCCAUUACAAUGAGACCGCACUUCAUAUUUUCUCCAUCUGGGUAGGUCACCCAUACGAUGAGACCAUCAUUUUUCCGGGGUUCGUCACCCAUACAAUGAGACCAUCAUUUUUCUGGGUUCGUCACCCAUACAAUGAGACCAUCAUAUUUCUAGGGUUCGUCACCCGUACAAUGAGACCAGCAUUUUUCUAGGGUUCGUCACCCGUACAAUGAGACCAGCACUAGGGUUUGUCACCCGUACAAUGAGACCAGCAGCACUAGGGUUCGUCACCCGUACAAUGAGACCAUCAUUUUUCGAGGGUUAGUCACCCGUACAAUGAGACCAGAAUGAGGUCGCCAGAUGGGAUCUCAUGUAGCUUUGGUUAAAGGGAAUCGCCAGAUGGGAUUUCAGGUUAACCGAGUUACACAUAUUUCGUUUUAGUUGAAUGAGGUCGCCAGAUGGGAUCUCAUGUAACUUUGGUUAAAGGGAAUCGCCAGAUGGGAUUUCAGGUUAACCGAGUUACACAGUUUAGUUCCAAUUGAAUGAGGUCGCCAGAUGGGAUCUCAUGUAGCUUUGGUUAAAGGGAAUCGCCAGAUGGGAUUUCAGGUUAACCGAGUUACACACAUUUUCGUUCCAGUUGAAUGAGGUCGCCAGAUGGGAUCUCAGGUAGCUUUGGUUAAAGGGAAUAGCCAGAUGGGAUUUCAGGUUAACCGAGUUACACACAGUUUAGUUCCAAUUGAAUGAGGUCGCCAGAUGGGAUCUCAUGUAGCUUUGGUUAAAGGGAAUCGCCAGAUGGGAUUUCAGGUUAACCGAGUUACACAAUAUUUUCGUUCCAGUUGAAUGAGGUCGCCAGAUGGGAUCUCAGGUAAACCCAAUGUGUGGGCAGGUCGCCCGUGAAAAUAGACUAUUGGGAGAGUGUGGGUCGGUCGCCCGUGAAAAUAGACUAGAGUGAGUAUGUGUAGGCAGGUUGCCCAAGAUAAUGAAAUCAUUUUCCUUUUGUUUUCUUUACAAAGCUUACUAUGCAAAAUUUUAAGGAUUUUCGCUUCGUAAGCAUUGUAAAGAGGGGGCAUCUGUUGCUACCCAAUUUUUGACCCAUGUUUUUGAUAUAUUUUUCAAAAAAAUCCAAAAAUAGAGAAAAACAAUGAAAAUCCAAAAAAUAUGUUUUUUUUAAUAUAUUCUCGUCAUUUUAGCAUUUUCAGCGUCGUCUAAAAAGAUUUUAAUUUUUAUUUAAAGAAUUUAAUUUUUCAAAAGAUUUUCGAACGCGUUCGACUUUUCACGCGUCAUUUUUAAAAUCAUUGAUUUUCCGUAUUUUGAGUCGACGUUGAUAUUGCUCGUUUUCAAAAAAUACAAAAAAAAUAAUAAAAAUCAAAAUUUACAAAAAGAAAGAAGUUGAGGGACCAAGUUGAAAAACCUAGCAAAAUUUUGUCUAUAAAUACUGGUUUCCAACACUUGUAAAGGGGGGGGGGCAAUUUUGAAAUAUCACAGAAAAAAACACAAAACCUAAACGUAAACCUAAAACCCAUUUUUUUUAAGGCAGCCGCCGCCCCCUCCCCCCUGGUUUUAAUUUUUUUUCGACAGCUGCCGGCCACAAGAAAAAAAUCCAAGACAGCUCCCCGAUCCUCCUCUCGGCUGUUUCUCCCUUUCUUCUCCUUCGGCUACUCAUCCUUCAGAAACCAGAGCCGGCUUAUUCUCCCCUUUCCACUUUCAAAGCCAGCAGCCCCCACCUCUCCUUCAUUUCUUUCUCCAGCUUCUCCCCUCAACCAUGGCCGCCCCUAUUUUUUCAAAAAAAUAGAAAAACACCACUUGAAAACAAAGACAGCCCCGAACCCCUCCCUCUUGAUUUUCUUCUUCCUCAGCCGCCGGACAAGCCUCGCCCCAGGCCAUUUUUUUCUUCGUUUAUCUUCUCCCUUCAGCCGGGCGGAUCUUCAGCUCCUUUCAACAGAAAACAGAAGGAAAGCCCCCGCUACUCCCAUUUCCUUAUCUCCCUUUCAGCAGCGGCUCCUCCCCACAGAGCCGUUCUCCCACCUCCACCAAGCCACCGAUCUGCCACCCGAAGCAGAGGAGAAGAAGACGAAACCCAGCGCCCACCGGACAAGCAGCAGCAAGGCCAGCCACCGCUGUUCCUUUCCCCAGCAGCGUCGCUCCCCCUUUUUGCAACCGCCGGAUCCACCACCAGAAAUAGAGGAGAAGAAGACACCCACAACCGCCGGCCAUCUGAACAGAAGAAGAGGAAACGGAAACAAUCUGCAGAGAGGGGCAGAUCGAAGACGGCGGAGAAAGAAAGAACAAAAAAAAACAGAUUUGAAAAAACUAAGAAAAAACUUAAAAUCGACUGCCCUUGCUGUCUGUGUUUUUUUAUUUACAGGUAACACCGGCGAGGACGGGAAGAGGGGAUGAAGCUGCCACCAGACCUCCUGCUGCGUUUUUUUCGGGGCGGCGCGUGAGCCCACGCGCCGCCAGUCACGGC
rnacentral:lncRNA from 1 species